UCCCCCGCCCCAGCCCCCACAACUGCACUCAACCGCUCAGGAAAGGGAAGUGCGUGUCUCGGCCACCCGGCCUGUGCAGGGAGAACCAGAACCCUAACUGGACAGAGAGUGGACUCCUGGAGGGGUGGGGCUGGAGUGGGGGAGGGAGGCAGGGCAGGCACAGUACAGGGGGCAGCGGAGGCGGAGGCCUGGUCCUAGCUGUCCCUAGUGCCCGCUGCUUCCUGGGUCCCGUCCUCAGGGACAGCGGGGGAGGUUGGGGAGGGGCUGCCCCCGUUCCUGUGAGGCCGCAGAUGAGGAACCCGUGACGUCUCCCCGCUCAUCUCCAGCCGGACUCUGGGCCUGCGCCCCUCACAGCUGCUCUGCUCCACAGGGACCAUGGGCGGCGGGGCCCAGACCCCAGCCCUCACUGCCCUCCUCUGCCUGGGGCUGUGCCGGGUGCCAGGGGAUGGGGCACAGGUGGGUGAGUCCUCCCCUGACCUGGCUCAGUCCCAGGGGCUCCAGACAGCUCAUGUUAAGGAGCCCAGGGGGGCUGGGCUGAUGGUGAUGGCUGGGAGGGGCUGGGAGUGGAGCUGGGGAAUGGGGUGGGAGAGAGGCUGCACCCGGGGUCUGCAACUUUGAUUCCUUUCCAGGGACCCUCCCCAAGCCCUCCAUCUGGGCCGACCCAAGGCCCCCUGGUCGCCGUAGGAAGCCCUGUGACCCUCUGGUGCCAGGGCUCUCUGCAGGCUGAGGUCUAUCAUAUGUAUACAGAGAGCGGCCGUCAUCCCUGGGAAACGAGGCCCCAGCAGGACUCCAGACACAAGGCCAGCUUCUCCGUGAUCACGUCCAUGAGCUCCCAUGACACAGGGCAGUACUGUUGUGUGUAUUGGACCUCGCUCAGCCCCUCCCAGCCCAGUGACCCCCUGACCCUGGUGGUGAUGGGUAAGGUUUUUCCCCUGCCCACCGAAGAAGAAACAUGGACUUCACGGAGCAGCAGCCCCCAGACAUUGGUUUGCUUCCCCUGCAGGGAUGUUCCCGGCGCCCUCCCUUUCGGCCCAGGCAAGCCCCGUGGUGGCAUGAGGCGGGCACUGCCCAUCUGCUGAAGGAGGGUGGAGCCGGCCCCCUGCACAGCCUGGAAGCCAGAUACUCCCAUGGGGCUGGGCUGUGGCAGGCCACCUUCCUCCUGGGCCCCGUGGACAGCACCCAAAGGGGCAUCUACAGGUGCUACCGUGCUGACACCAACAAGACCCGUGUGUGGUCACUGCCCAGUGACCCCCUGCAGCUGGAGGUGUCAGCACAAUAAAGAAGGAAACAUGGUUCCUUGGAAUUACCAUCCAAUCCAACAGUUCCUCUCCUGCACAUAUAACCACAGGGAUUGAAGCAGGAACCCAAGAAGGUUUUUGCAUCCAUGGGUUCAUAGCAGCCUCAUUCACAUGAGCCCAAAGAUGCCAGCAACCAGAAUAUGCAGACCAGAUGAGUGAGUCCACAACAGGCAGUAUUUGUAGACACGGCUGAUACUCUCCUGUUAGAAAAGAAGGAGGGUCUGGAUAAUCGUGGAGAAAUCAGCCGGUGUCACAGACACCAUGCUCUGAUUCUGCUCUGAGAGGUGCCCGGGGGUACAGAUUCAGAGGGCAGAAUGUGGACUCGGGUGUGGGGACGAGUGUGCAGGUGCCUGCUGAGUGGGUCUGGGGUUUCUGUCUCUGCUAAUGAAGAUGUUUGUGAACAGGUGCUGGUGGGUACACGACACAGUGAAUGUGAGAGGUAGCUACAGCAUGAAUUAAAUUUCUGUUAGGUCUGUAAUCUGUGCUCUGUGAAUUUCAGCUUGACAAAGGAGGAAGACACAAACACCAAAAACACAUUUGCCACCUAUUUUUCCCUUUAAAUGAGCACGUAAUAAUUUGGGAGGUGCAGCGUGGUAUUGGAGGGUGUGCUGAUCACACCAGGGCGUUCCCAUCUCGUCUUGUCUUGUGUUUGGGCCCAGCUCCUCUCCUCGAGUUCUUUGUGGAAACACUCAACAGGUUAUGUGAGUCAUGGGUGCCUCCUGUGCUGUGCAGACAGAGCCGUUCCUCUAUCUGACUCCACCUUGGGACCCGGGGACCAACCCUCCCUCAUCUCUCCCCCAGACCCUUUUCAGCCAUAGUGGUCACCAUCCUACUCUGCUACUAUGAGACCAACUUUUCCAACUUCUGCGUGGAAGAGAGAACUUACACUGGAUUCCUGGGAAGGCGUAUUUCACUAAAUGAGCGUGGCUGCUGCGGAUCUGGGGCACCUGGUUCCCAAGGGAGCGUCCUCCUUCUUCCCUGGCACUUUCUGCGUGGAAGGAAGUCUACAUGCAACGGUACCUGAGAAGUAGAGCGCAACGCACUUGCUCCGGCCGUGCCUCCACUGUAGCUCUAAACCAAGCCAGCCUUGCCCGUGUAUCGAAGGGGGCAUCUGGGAUCCCUGCUUUCUGGAGGAGCCCGUCUGUGGUUUCUGGAAGAGAAGCGCAGGGUCUCUGAGUUUCCGGAAGAGGGUGUGCAGGGCUUCCGGAAGAGCGCUCUGGAUUCCUGGGUCUACGGAAGAGCGGCCUGGGGUCUCCGGACACGAGCCCGAGAUUCCCGGGUUCCUGGAAGAGCACAUUUGAACACUGUAGGUCUCCUUAAGAGGGGGCUGGGGUCUCUGGACACGUGCCCGAGGUUCCCAGGUUUCCAGAAGAGCCCGUCUGGCAUUUCCGGUCCGUCCACCAUUAACCUUCUCUCUACCCGGCAGCUCCUCCUUCAGCCCCACCUGGCCCCUCGAACCCUUGGUAUCAUGCCCGCUUCCUCGUUUACUUCUCGACAGGUGCCAACUCCCUGAGCGCAUGGGCGGCCCCUUGGCUCACCUGUCCACAACAGUGUGGGACAGAGAGGGGAUCCUGGGGCCCAGACCCCCACCGCUCCCUUCUCCUAGCGCAGGUUGGGCACAGGGGAGGAGCUACGGGAGAGGAGAACCUUAGACACCUGCCCGCCCGCGUUCCUGCGGUGCAGCUCACAUCGCUGUCAUCAUCAACCGAGGCAAAUGGGGCCCAAAGCAAGGCGUCCCACAGUGGAAUAAGACUCGGCCAUAGAAGAGUGAAACCCAGAUGUUUUCAGGAAACCGAGGCACUGCGGAUACUGUGGAAGUGAAACAAGCCAGGCACAGGGAAAACCCACUCGGGAAGUCACUCAGGUGUGGGCUGUGAGGGACUCGGGGAGUAGAGUGGUGGUCACCAGGGGAGGCCAUGGGUGCUGGGAUCCACAGGUCAGUGUGCAGAGAUACAGAAUCACGUGGGAGAAGAAGGUCUAGAGGUGUAGUGUGUGUCAUGGCGACUUAGUUAAUAACGCUCACUGCAUGGGCAGCUGAAAUUGCUUAAAACUGUGUCAGAUGCUCCCAGCACACAAUAAGUCUGUGAGGUAAUGCACACGUUAUCUAGCUUGGGUUAGCUCUUCCACGUUUGUGUGCGUGUGUGUGUGGUGUGUUUGUGUGUUUGAUGUUUACAUGACAAUUAUACAGAAAUACAACUUUUGAAUAUCAAAGCAAUGAUUUCUUUAAAAGGAGAAAGUUUGUUGACCUCUCCUCUUCUCUUUCAGGCUUCUGUGACAAGCCCUGCCUGUCCAUGGAUCAGGUUCUGGGGUUAUGUCAGGAGAGAACAUUUCCCUGCCAUGUUGUUCCGCCUCGUGUCCUCUUGAUAAAGUCCCAGUGAGCCCAGGGGGGAAAUGGCUCCCUGCCACAGCGCUGAUGCAAGGGGUUCCGGGGAACCUUGGCUCUGGUCCUGGGAACCCCCGCAUCUCUGUGGUCGCCACCUGUGGUGGAAUGAGAAGGCCAUACCAAGAUGGCCACUGGCAAGUGAGGGUCAGUUACUCAGGAAUGGCUUCGGAAGCCCCCUUGGAAGCCACCUGGAAAUGGAGUCUGCCUGGCAACAGGAUGUGAUUGGUUAGGGCAAAAACUGCCCGUUAACUGGAUUGGCUGCCUUGGCUAUAUAAGCUGCUGUACCAACUGAAAUAAACGAGUCUGUGGACUGCUCGCCUCUGGCCUGCUUUCACCUGACUCCCUGGGGUCUGUGUGGUAACUCUGUGCCUCUUGCCCCCACCACGCUCCUCCUCUCAGAACAAAUCCACAGCAACAGCCACCAUGGCAGCCCCCAGGUGUGGUGGCCCCCAGUGGUGCCCUGGAGCUCAUGGUCACAGGUAGGUGCCUCUCAGGCCCUCUUUGUCCUUGGCAGAGGCUCGCAGCUGGCUGUGCAGGGCCCUGUCCACAGCAGGGGUGUGCAGAGCAGCGUAGGAACGCAGCAGAGGGCACCUGGACUUGGGCAAGGAUGCAACGAGAAUGGCUUCUUGCCCCCUCACAAACUCAGCUCAUGUCUGUUGCUGUGGAUUCAAUUCUGGGAGGAGGAGCGUGGUGGGGGCAAGAGGCACAGAGUCACCGCAUGGCACCCCAGAGUCAGGUGAAAGCAGGCCAGAGGCGAGCAGCCUGCAGACUCAUUUAUUUCAGUGGAUACAGCAGCUUAUAUAGCCAAGGCAGCCAAUCUAGUCAAGGGGCGGUCUAUGCCCUAACCAAUAACAGCCUGUUGCCAGGCAGUUUCCAAAGCCAUCCAAUCACAGCCUGUUGCCAGGCAGGCUCCGCUGUCAAGUGGUUCCCAAAACCAUCCAAUCACAGCCUGUUGCCAGACAGUUUCUUUGGCCAGUGGCCAUCUUGGCAUGGCCUUCUCAUUCCAGCACAUGUCCUCUGCCAUCCCCCAGGAGGUCAGCUGAGCCAGUUGGGCUUGGGAACAGCAGAGCAACCACGAGCUGUGCACACACUGGAACAGGGUCGAUUCCCAUAAGCAAGGUGAGAGCUGAUGUUUGUGUGUCACAGCAUGUCCACAUGGCCCAGGAUAGCCUUCUUUCAAUUCGUCUCAGACACACAGAAAUGUGAAAACACGCUCAGACCAUGGGCCAUCCACAGAGAGGCUGUAGGCUGGCUGUGGUCCUUGGGCCAUGAUGUGCUGACCUCUGCUGGGCACGUACCUACGUGAGAGGAAGUGCUGGCUCAGGCCGUGCACAGGACUGCUGUGCCCAUCAACACACUCACACACGCAUGCACACACAUGCAGGCACAGACACACAUGCACAUACAUGCAUUUUACACACGCACACAUACACACAUGCAGACGCAUAAACACAUGUACACAAGCAUGCACACAUGUGCAGACACACACAUCCAUGCACAGAGACACACGGACACAUAAAUAGAUGCGUGCACACACUUGCACACACAAGCACAGAUUGCGCACACAGAACACAGAAACGCAUACACACAAGCACCCCCAGACGCACUCAUACACACAUGCAAACAGACAUGCAUGCAAACAAAUGCAGACAUACAGGCACACAUGCACAUGUGUAUACACACAGAUGCAGAUACAUACACGAAUAUACAGAGAAAUACACACGUGCACACAGAUGCAGACACAUACACAUAUGCACACAUACACGUGUGCACACAGCUGCAGACACAUGCACACACCUGCACACUGGGAAACACAUAUACAUAAAUGCACACAGACCUACAAAUGUGCAAACGCACGUGCACACACAUCAACAAGACACAUUAGAAACAAUUCCGUAGGUAUCUGGCUUCAAGGGCACAAAAAUAAAGAGCCAGUGGUGGAGAUGAAAGCUUAGUUGAGAGCCUUCUGGCUCGCGUGGGAGCGGAAGUGCGCUCGGCAGACACUGCCCAGGAGGUGAGCCCUGAUGGGGUUUAGCACCUCCCAGGGAACAGAGACCCCGCCCCAAGUCCCUGAGGAGGGGGCUUGGAACCACGAACUCCACAGAGCUCCAGAGAGUGGGUGCUGUGGACAGAAAGCAGUCAGGACCCUCGGCCCUCAGGGAAAAGCUCCGGUCACCACCCCAGCCGGCCACACGCAGGGAGCCUGCACCUGCAGAUCUGGAAGCAAAGUCCUGAAAACCCAACACCCACGGCCUUCACGAGAGCACGAGACUGAGUCUGACCGAGUGGGGUGGUAACCUGCAAACCCACAGCGUCCACAGGAGAGCUGCCCCCUGCUGGGCACCCAGCCCCCGGGGGAACUGGGGGAGACCACAGAAGGGCACAGGGCCCCUCCACAGGGAGAAGAACCCACUGCAGCUGAACCCUCAGUGAGAACAACCGACCUCAGGAGGAAACAAAGGCCCCACGAUGCAAAGGGAGGCCCGGGUUCAAUUCUCGGCUGCAAGUCUGGGCUCCAGCUCCUUGCUCAGGCAGGUCCUGGGGCCAUGGUCUCCGGCUUGGCAGCUGGGUUCCUGCCUCCCGGGUGGGGGGCGUGGAUAGAGCUCAUGGCCCUUUUUGUUGGCCCUGGUUCACCCCAGCUAUUAGAGCAUUCGGGGAGUGACCCAAUGGAUAGGGCUGGCUCGCUCGCUCUCUCUCUGCUUCUCACAAUUUCAGAAUUUGAAAAUACAAAAUCAGAAACUCGUGCAAAAGCCAGAGGUGACCCCACCCCGGGAGACACCGUGAGGACUUUGGCCUCGUCCUCAUGGCGCCAGUGGUUGACUUGAGUUCUGUGGUCGGUGUGUGGAGAGAGUUUGUGUUGGGGGAGCUCGGGGUGAGCCGGUCCCUGUGCCACAGGACAGGAGAAGAAACCCAGUCCCAGGUGUCAACCCCUGGAGCCAGAGUGGCGCUGCCUCAGUCCCCUAUAGCGGCCAUGUGUGGUCCUUCCCCAGUGAGCCCGUGAAGCUCCUGGUCACAGGUGAGGAAGCCCCCAGUUCCCAGGUCCUCCCUGGGCUCCUAAAGAAACCCCAGGGUCCUGUCGAAGGGACGUCCACCCCAGGGGGCCAGGGAAGGAGAAUGGAGGGAGCAGAGGAAGCCCCCAGCCCCAGCCAGUCCUCUUCAUCUCCAUCUCCAGAUGUGGGAGACCCCAGCCUGGAACCCACAGACCCUGCCCCUGCUGCAGGUGAGUAGCUUGCUCCUUCACGCUCAGGAGAGCUGGAGCCUUCCUGUGCGUGCCUGUGGGUGCCGUGGGCUUCCCCGCCUGCACAGUGCAGUGCAGGUGCCCCAGGUGUGGUGGUGUUCAGUGCCCACAAGCCACCGGCAGUGAAACCCACACCCUCCCGCUCAUGCUGGUCCAUAUGCAGAACGCAGGUGCACUAGGGACAUGAUGAGAAGUUACCCAGAGGCUGAUGUCCCCGGGGCCCGUGACACGCAGGGAAUCUUGUGUUUAAGACAUGGGCACAGUCUCCAGGACACCUCACUGUGUGUAUGGGAAUAUUCUAAAUCCCAGCACUAGCCCAUCUGGAGCACUUGGGGGCCCUAGCAUUUUGGAUAAGGGAGGGGCAACCCGUACAGCAGUGUCCAUCAACCAGAAUAACCUCCUCAUCUGUGGGUACAAGUUUCCUGCUUGGAGUGGAUGGAACGUCCAUGGGUGGAUGUCAGGAGAGAGAAAUGUGUUAUAUGAGGGCAGUUCAGAGAGCUCAUGGAAAGUUCAGGGGUAAAAGGACUGGGCCAUCUUCUGCUGCUUUACCAGGCAUAUUAACAGGGAGCUGGAGAGAAGUGGAGCAGCGGGGACUCGAACCGGUGCCCAUAAGGGGUGCUGGUGCUAUAGGCGGAGGCUUUAGCCCAUUACACCACAGCGCUGGCCCCAUAAACUUCUCUUUUAACUACGUGUCCCGUGAAGUUUUAGAAGUCCCCAGGCGUCUCGCACAAGAAGCAGUGGUGACCUGGAAGGGGGACCCGUGGAGGGCUAAGCAGGGCCGCCUGUCUGGGCACACGCAGGAGACAUCUGGGUGAACACUGGCCGACUGAGCCCGUUAGCCCCAUGGUUCUCAGAACGAAGAGAUUUCCAGAAAGAGAGGGGGCAACCCAGCAGUGCCGGAAGUCAGGAAGGGGACCUGGUGACAAGGGACUGGCCAGGAGGCUGGUGGGCAGGGGGCUGGCUCAGGACACCCAGGGGAGUGCCAGGCUUUGGAUUUGACGCCGUGUGUGGAGAAAGACCCGCAUGAGGGGGGCGCAGAGCCCCCGUCGUGGUGGGAGGCACAGAGACGCAUGCGCAAUAGUGCAGCGCCAGCUUCUGCCUGGGGCCUGGGGGCCCCUGCCCGUGGGGUGAGGCCGCUGGGACCCCUGUGAGGCAUGGGGUGGAGACUUGGACAGCCGCGGGGUGUGGCGGGGCUGGGCUGAGGAAGGAGAGGCUGGGUGGGCGGAAGCCAAAGCCGACCCUCCCUUCCCACAGCAGGCUCGCGGAAACCCCGUCUCCGAAACCACAGUGUCCAGAGUCCAGGACGGUGAG